UGUGGUAGGGACAAAAUGCUAGGGCCGGACGCGUUUACUUUCAAAUUCUUGAAGAGAUAUUGGGACGUCAUUAAAGACGAUCGAUGUCAUUAAGUUCUUGAAGUAUCUUGAAGACUUCACGCUGUGUUACACAAAGGUUCUUCACGACUCCACCAUCCGCCUCCUUCUGAUGAAUAUCUCUCAAUGAGAUCUUUCCGCCACCGAUUUCUGCCAAGGAUAUCGCAUAGACUAAAGAUCGACGAUCCACUCCAUCUACCGCCUUCCUCCUCUUUCCAUCCUACAUCUCUAGCUGUUCUAACAAACAACAACGACUACCAAUCCACGAUCCUCGUUUGGCAUAUCAACGACGUCAAAUCCACGAUCCAAGAGAUCUACGUCAUUCAUUUUUAUGUUCGAUUGCAACAAUAAACCGUCAAAACGCAUUUGUGGAUCACCUCUAUCUGGCGAGGAUCUUAUACCGCCAAUGCCUUCUUUUCCAAUCGCACCUCCGACCGCCCCAAUCUACACAAACAUCGUCACAUAUGGCUCCAACCUCCACAGUCCCCAUUUAUGUAUCGAUUAUCAAAUCCCCCUUACAUUGAACCAAUGUUUCUUGCUUAUAUCAGCUGGUUCUUUAUCCCACUUCUUCUUAGAUUGCCUGUUUGAGGUGAUGGAAGAUAUUACUCAAAGGAUGCUAUCCAGAUAAUAAUUAAAAUGACAGCUACAAAUGGUGCAAGACGUAUCUGGGUUGGUCAAAAUGGUCUUUUGUCAACACCUGUUGUAUCAGCAGUUGUACGUGAAAGAGUUGGUGCUGAUCAAAUGGAGCAUUUAUAUUGACAGUCGGUCACAACCCUGGUGGUCCAAAUGAGGGUUUUUGAAUUAAAUACAAUAUGGAAAAUGGUGGGCCAACACCUGAUGGACUUACUGAUAAAAUCUUUGAGAGCACUAAAACAAUAUAGGGGUAUUUUAUUGAUGAAGGCUUACCUGAUGUGGAUAUCUCUGCAAUUGGUGUUUCAUCCUUUUCAGGCCCUAAUGGAAAAUUCGAUGUUGAUGUUUUUGACGCAGCAAGCGACUAUGUGAAAUUGAUGAAGUAUGCUAUCACAAUGUAAAUGACGUUAUUUCCCUUCAUUAUCUAAUGGAUUAAAUGAACUCCUUGUGAUAUAUGUAAUCAUAUUCUAUUUUGUUACAACAAUGAAAGAUUUUGAGGAUAAUGAAGUGAUAUAUUUGAAUUUUGUUAAUCAUUCUCACAUAUCUAUGCCAGUUAUUUUGUCUUUUUAGGGCCAAAAUUCUGAAUGGGUGAAUGUGUACAUCAGCAAUUUGAACCCGUCAAAUGAUGACUGGAUUGGAGUUUUCUUCCCUGCCAAUUUCAGAUUUGAAAGAAUUUUUGGUGAAUAUUGAAGAGGUGAAAAAUGAUAAAUUGAAGAAAAUAAGAAAAUAUUGACAUGAAGACAUGAAAACACUUGGAAAUUUGUAGCAAUUUUUAAUUUUAUAUUUUAUUUUG